GUCUCCUUGGGCCAGGCUCCUCUCCAGCAUCUCCAGGGUCAGCCUGCUGCUGCUGCUGGGCUCUGUGCUCCUCUCCUGCUCCAGCCUGGGACAGAGAGUGCCUGAGUUAGCCCUUACAAAAAUAGAAGAGAGCGACAUAAAAGAUGACAGUGGGAAGGAGCUGGGGACAGAGGAUGACGCUGAUCCUGAAGUCCUGGAAGUGUUUUACCCCACGGGUCAGUGGCAAACCCUGCGUCCAGGUUCUCAAUUCUCCUGGUCAGCUGCCUUGUUCUUCUCUGCCUACAUCCUGUAUUGAUCUUCUCUGAACGUAGCCAAGCCUUCAGCAUCCCAGAUGGUCUUUCUG